rfam:Aphanomyces invadans strain NJM9701 unplaced genomic scaffold supercont1.10, whole genome shotgun sequence.
CAACUGGCUUUUCUAAAAGCCACCCACCUCCAAAGAAAUGCAUCU